rnacentral:rRNA from 1 species
ACUCCUGCGGGAGGCAGCAGUGGGGAAUAUUGGACACUGGGCGAAAGCCUGAUCCAGCAAUGCCGCGUGUGUGAAGAAGGUCUUCGGAUUGUAAAGCACUUUCGACGGGGACGAUGAUGACGGUACCCGUAGAAGAAGCCCCGGCUAACUUCGUGCCAGCAGCCGCGGUAAUACAAAGGGGGCUAGCGUUGCUCGGAAUGACUGGGCGUAAAGGGCGCGUAGGCGGUUCAUACAGUCAGAUGUGAAAUUCCAGGGCUUAACCUUGGGGCUGCAUUUGAUACGUAUGGACUAGAGUGUGAGAGAGGGUUGUGGAAUUCCCAGUGUAGAGGUGAAAUUCGUAGAUAUUGGGAAGAACACCGGUGGCGAAGGCGGCAACCUGGCUCAUUACUGACGCUGAGGCGCGAAAGCGUGGGGAGCAAACAGGAUUAGAUACCCGUGUAGUCCCAUGA